UACGUAGGGGGCCAGCGUUGUUCGGAAUUACUGGGUGUAAAGGGUUCGUAGGCGGUGCGGCAAGUUGGGAGUGAAAUCUCUGGGCUUAACCCAGAGGCUGCUUCCAAAACUGCUGUGCUUGAGUGUGGGAGAGGCGCGUGGAAUUGCAGGUGUAGCGGUGAAAUGCGUAGAUAUCUGCAGGAACACCCGUGGCGAAAGCGGCGCGCUGGACCACUACUGACGCUGAGGAACGAAAGCUAGGGAAGCAAACAGG
rnacentral:rRNA from 1 species